rnacentral:rRNA from 1 species
CCCUUAGAUGUUCUGGGCUGCACGCGCGCUACACUGAUGCGCUCAACGAGUUUACGACCUUGCCCGGAAGGGUUGGGUAAUCUUUUUAAAACGCAUCGUGAUGGGGAUAGAUUAUUGCAAUUAUUAAUCUUUAACGAGGAAUACCUUGUAAGCGCGGGUCAUCAUCCCGCGCUGAAUACGUCCCUGCCCUUUGUACACACCGCCCGUCGCUCCUACCGAUUGAGUGGUCCGGUGAGGCUUUGGGAUCUGAGCGGAAAGAGCGUUUCGCUGUUUCUGCUCGGAAAACUCAGUCGAACCUUAUCAUUUAGAGGAAGGAGAAGUCGUAACA